rnacentral:rRNA from 1 species
GAUGAACGCUGGCGGCGUGCCUAAUACAUGCAAGUCGAGCGAACAGACGCGGCGCUUGCGCCUCUGACGUUAGCGACGGACGGGUGAGUAACACGUGGAUAACCUAUCUAUAAGACUGGGAUAACUUCGGGAAACCGGAGCUACUACCGGGAACUAUAUGCACCCGCCUGGUUCAUGGGUAAAAGUCGUUUUUUUGGUCGCAUAUGCAUGGUUCCUCGCCGCUUUAGGUGGUUGGUAAGGUAACGGCUUACACGGGUAACGAUGCGUAGCCGAUCGCCGGGGGUGAUCGGCCACAUUGGAACUGAGACACCGUCAAGACUCCUGCGGGAGGCAGCAGUAGGGAACGGGACGCAGUGGUGGAAAGCCUGGCGGAGCAAGGCCGCGUGAGAGAUGAAGGUCUUCGGAUCGUAAAGCUCUGUUAUUAGUGAAGAACAAAUGUGUGAGUAACUAUGGCCGUCUUGACGGUACCUAAACAGAAAGCCACGGCUAACUACGUG